GACGAACGCUGGCGGCGUGCUUAACACAUGCAAGUCGAACGGUGAACCUCUUCGGAGGGGAUCAGUGGCGAACGGGUGAGUAACACGUGGGCAACCUGCCCCCGGCUCUGGGAUAACUCCAAGAAAUUGGGGCUAAUACCGGAUGUUCACCGCUUCCCGCAUGGGUGGUGGUGGAAAGGGUUUCCGGCUGGGGAUGGGCCCGCGGCCUAUCAGCUUGUUGGUGGGGUAGUGGCCUACCAAGGCGACGACGGGUAGCCGGCCUGAGAGGGUGACCGGCCACACUGGGACUGAGACACGGCCCAGACUCCUACGGGAGGCAGCAGUGGGGAAUAUUGCGCAAUGGGCGGAAGCCUGACGCAGCGACGCCGCGUGGGGGAUGACGGCCUUCGGGUUGUAAACCUCUUUCAGCAGGGACGAAGCGCAAGUGACGGUACCUGCAGAGGAAGCACCGGCCAACUACGUG
rnacentral:rRNA from 1 species